GAUGAAGAACGUAGCGAAAUGCGAUAAGUAAUGUGAAUUGCAGAAUUCAGUGAAUCAUCGAAUCUUUGAACGCACAUUGCGCCCGCUAGUAUUCUGGCGGGCAUGCCUGUCCGAGCGUCAUUUCAACCCUCAGGCCCCCAGUGCCUGGUGUUGGGGAUCGGCCCAGCCUUCCUGUAAGGCCGCCGGCCCCGAAAUCUAGUGGCGGUCUCGCUGUAGUCCUCCUCUGCGUAGUAGCACAACCUCGCAGUUGGAACGCGGCGGUGGCCAUGCCGUUAAACACCCCACUUCUGAAAGUUGACCUCGGAUCAGGUAGGAAUACCCGCUGAACUUAAGCAUAUCAAUAAGCGGAGGA
rnacentral:misc_RNA from 1 species